AGCGAACGCUGGCGGCAGGCCUAACACAUGCAAGUCGAACGAACCCUUCGGGGUUAGUGGCGGACGGGUGAGUAACACGUGGGAACGUGCCUUUAGGUUCGGAAUAACUCAGGGAAACUUGUGCUAAUACCGAAUGUGCCCUUCGGGGGAAAGAUUUAUCGCCUUUAGAGCGGCCCGCGUCUGAUUAGCUAGUUGGUGAGGUAAUGGCUAACCAAGGCCACGAUCAGUAGCUGGUCUGAGAGGAUGACCAGCCACAUUGGGACUGAGACACGGCCCAAACUCCUACGGGAGGCAGCGGUGGGGAAUCUUGCGCAAUGGGCGAAAGCCUGACGCAGCCAUGCCGCGUGGAUGAUGAAGGUCUUAGGAUUGUAAAAUCCUUUCACCGGUGAAGAUAAUGACUGUAGCCGGAGAAGAAGCCCCGGCUAACUUCGUGCCAGCAGCCGCCGUAAGAC
rnacentral:rRNA from 1 species